rnacentral:Y_RNA from 1 species
GUCCAGUCUGAAAGUAGUGACUUACCUCAAUCUCACGGUAAGUUACAAAUUGAGCUCCUUGUACUACUCCUUCCCCACUUCUCACCAGUGCACUUGACUCGUCUUUA